AAACAGACCAAAAGAAACAGUAGUGCUGUAUAUCCGUUUUAAAUCGCUGUUUAUCUUUGCUGACGGGGUAUCGAGUCCUUUCAGCGUGCGCUCAGGAUCGGCCAGGGUCGGCCAGGAUCGAUUCAAGCGUCUAUACAUGACUAUUAACCGACGGAACCGUCACAUAGGACUUGCAUCUGCUGUUGUAGCUUACAAUGUUUGUGGUCUUCGAUAGCAGGACUAACUCAAUAGAGACAGCCGUUUUCUGAUGAAAUAAAACGAGGAAGCAGAAUUUGAAAGGACGUACAUUGCUGCAUUUAUUGGAUGUGAUAUUCAGCUAUCGAAAAAGUUGGUAGAUUGCCGUAUAAUGUUGGUGCCGCUCUCUGUGUGCUUGAGGAACCUGAUGCUGGAAUGAACCCAAUGCUACCAUCAUCGCUCACUGGUUCGGAUGCACAAUGUUGGUCAGCUCCAAGAACCUCUUUAUCUUCGUGAGCCUUUAGCUGUAAUUUGAGUUGCUCGAUCAGCACUUUCCCUGCUUCCAACUCCUCAGAUAGAGCUUUCACUUUUUCACUCAGUACGGAAUGCGUGCUUUCUUGUACGCCAUCACUCGACGUUUGCUUAAACGAAGCAGUUUGGGCACGUGGGAUAGACCGCUUUGAUUUUAACUUUUUGGACGAUUUUUUGCUGUAAACCAAGGUAAAGUACAUUACUUUUUUUUUACCGUGUAUAUAUAUAUUUAUAUAUAUUUUUUUUUAAUCACUAAAUUCUGUCGUUACUCGGCACUAUCUUAUACUAAAUCUUAACGAUAUUCUACACUAAAAGAUAUGUCAAUAUGCCAAGAAAUCUGCCGUCUAGUUUUUGUUUCAGACCUUCCACAAUCAUUUAGUAUUUCUUUUUGUAAUUCACUCUUUUUUUUUUUUUUUUUUCAAGCAAUUAUUGUCGUCGCUUUGCCUUUCGAAAGCCAAAAAAAUACCCGAUUUUAUCAAGUUACGUCUUCAACACCUUAGGUUGAUCUGCUUUUUCAAGUUUGCAAGUAAAAAUUAAAGAUUGCCUUCUUUUUUUUUGUCAAGCUUGGCCUUGCGCAAGCUAAUAAGAUUCCUCAGACUUGGCCUUAUCGCAAGUGGGAAAUUUACUAUUCUUUUUUUCUGACUUGGCCUCAAGCAAGCUAAUAAAGUUCCUCAGACUUGGCCUUAUCGCAAGCGGGAAAUUAUCUAUUCCUUUUUUUUCAAGCUUGACCUCGUGCAAGCUAAUAAAGUUCCUCAGACUUGGCCAUAUCACAAGUGGGAAAUAUGCACUCCAAAUGGUUACUAUAGGAGCCACUUUGGAACUCAUGCGACUUCUUUGUAAAAACCGUUCCAUUUCAUUUUUUUUUCGAAAUACUCACCAUUCUGCUGCGCCAAUGUGGUGUUUCCGCCCAUCCAUUUUCGGCUGGUUGGUUUUCUUAAAAUUUGCAGAACUGUAUGUUUCAGAACCUUCUGGCACAAGAAUAGAAUACUGAAUGAGUCUUUUCUUUCGCACGUGGUGCAUUUUGGUCUGACAUGCCUACUUCGAUCAUAUUUCAAAAUUACUUCAAAUUUUAAAACUUGAAAUUCAAAUUUGCUAUAAUUGCUAUAAUUUAUUAUAGUGGUUUGUGUAUCGGCUCAAUCUUAUGGUAUGCUUAUAUUAUUCAAACGGAAUAAUAACAUCGCAGUUUUAUUUACACUGUUAAUAUUUUUUUUUGCUUUAGGUUAUUAUACAGAAUUUUAAAUCUUGCUUAUAAACAGAUAUCCUAUAUACCUAAUAUACAAUUAUUUUAGUAUUUAUUAUAAAUCAUGUCCAG